GAAGACAGUGCCAUGAAUCUCAGGACCAUGAAUUGAUGUGAUGUCAGUAACAUCCUCAAUAAUAGGCCUAGGGACAGAAGAUCCAGGUUGGGAACUCCCGUCCUUGACCUCUAUUGGAAUCUCCCUUACAUCCUUAGGAUGAGAAACCCGGGGAAUGCUGCUGGAAACCCCAUGAGAACCUCCUCCUCCAAUGAAGUUCCGACGAAAAUUU
rnacentral:misc_RNA from 1 species